rnacentral:lncRNA from 1 species
AAAGUGGGACGUGAUAAAAUGACCGGUGGUUCAUCAUGAAGGAAAUGAAGCUGCCUGACCAGGAAGGUAUUAAUGACUACUUAUGGCAGUUGAAGAGGUAGGUGACAUGAGUGGUUGUUAGAGCCACAUGUGGUUAGUUGCACCUCUUCAAUUUCAAAUUUAUUUUCAGAAGACUCAAAAGUAAAAAAGCCUAAUUAAAUAAAUAAGCAUAAUCCUAAUUAUUGCAUAAUUUUGUUGUUUCAAUUAACCUAAGCAAAGAUUACCAUUUUAAUUCAUGUCUCCUCAAAACAUAUAUUAAGAAACUUGAACUUUUAAUUUUUUUUGAUUUCGGUUUCUUU